rnacentral:rRNA from 1 species
CCUACGGGGGGCUGCAGUGAGGAAUAUUGGUCAAUGGACGAGAGUCUGAACCAGCCAAGUAGCGUGAAGGAUGACUGCCCUAUGGGUUGUAAACUUCUUUUAUAAAGGAAUAAAACGAGGCACGUGUGCCUUUUUGCAUGUACUUUAUGAAUAAGGAUCGGCUAACUCCGUGCCAGCAGCCGCGGUAAUACGGAGGAUCCGAGCGUUAUCCGGAUUUAUUGGGUUUAAAGGGAGCGUAGAUGGGUUGUUAAGUCAGUUGUGAAAGUUUGGGGCUCAACCGUAAAAUUGCAAUUGAUACUGGAAGUCUUGAGUACAGUUGAGGUAGGCGGAAUUCGGGGUGUAGCGGUGAAAUGCUUAGAUAUCACGAAGAACCCCGAUUGCGAAGGCAGAUUACUAAACUGUGACUGACAUUGAUGCUCGAAAGUGUGGGUAUCAAACAGGAUUAGAUACCCUAGUAGUC